GGACAGGGGUUCGAUUCCCCUCACCUCCACCUAAGUGCAUCGGAGUGUGCUUAGGUGGGGGUGUACCGGUUUCGACAGGGCGGGCGAAGGUGAGCAGGCAACCCGAGAGGCGACGGACGUAAUCCGCGCAAAUCUGUAAACGCCAACGAUGAGCGUUUCGCACUGGCCGCUUAAGGUCGGAGCCGGGGCCGCUGAAGCCUUGUAACCCAAGACAGCCGGCGGGGACUUCGGUCCCCGUCGUCA
rnacentral:tmRNA from 1 species